ensembl:lncRNA
CGAGGGCCGGUGCUCAGCCGGUAACUACCGUACCGGAACGCAACUCCAGUUUCGGUGUAGGGUCCGUGUACCCUUUGAUAGUCCCUUUUACCGUAAAAAACAGAAAAUGAAAACAUUCUUUUCUCGUUUUUCGUUUUUAAUCAAAAGCGGUAAAACGGAAGGGGACAGUCGUUUUCUCGUUAAUCCUUUAAAACCAAACUCACAACCCUUCUUACUCCGUUAAUCCCUUUUGGGGUUUUGAAGGGACUAUCAAAAGGUAAAGGGACCGUGUGGCUACAGCAGCUAGCUAGCCAGCUACCUUCUAUUCACAUGUAUUUAAGUCGGUGUUUCCCCUCCGUUAUUAAAGUCGAAAAGCGACGUUCCUUCGGGUGUUGUUUGUCGUUAAGCUGCAUACAAAUGUCUUAACUUCCUUCCGCAGAUGACGGGAGAUCUUUUGAUUUAUUUCGCUUUGUCUUUAUUCUACGCAACAAAGGGUCAACUAAAUAUACAAUUAAUACAUUCUGUCCUCUGCAGCUCUUCUGUGUUGCACGUCAAUACUUUGAGACAAACAAGGUCAAUCUAACGUAAGUGCUUUUCAAUAUAUGUUACAUAUCUGUCCUUCCUGCACAAUGAGCAUGAAUCUAAAAUUAAAUUAUUAAUAUUCCCCAAAUUCCAAUUAACUACUCUUCUGGCUGUUGGUAGAUAAACACUUCAAUCAUACUGUAAACUUUAAACAAUUCAUAUAUUGUUCAUAGUUUGAAGUUAAACAAUUCGAAGCUGUAGUUUGAAGCCAAGUGGUUUUUAUUUGUCUAUAUUUAGGGUAUUGUUCAUUGUUCAAUUUCAUGUAUGGGUUCAGACACUGGUAUUGUUUUAAAUGUGUCGGUUUAGCAUCGGUAGCUGGUUAGCUUAGCAUAAUGACUGCAGACAAGAGGGCUCGAACGGGAGGUUUAACGACCCGGAUUCAAGAGUUUAUAUAUUUCCGACUUGAAACAAUGGACCAAAAUCAAAAAUCGUUCUUUAUUUAUUCUUUAAAGUGUUUGCUUUCAAGAUCAAGAUGAUCGGGUCAUAGAAAACAAACAGAGCAAAGUGUUUUAUGCAGCAUGUGAAGUGGAUGAGCUCCAUCAAUACAGAUACACCGUCCACACACACGUUUACUUUAAAGGCUCAUUUCCAUAUUCAAGAUACCUUCACUGUAACCAUAGAGACGUGACAUCAUGAUGGAACAUUUCUCCAUGUUCCAUGUUCUAAGCUCCAUGUUCCAUGUUCUAUGCUCCAUGUUCUAAGCUCCAUGUUCUAAGCUCCGUUCACCUCAGCAUAAGGUCUGUGGCACAUUCAGUCAGUUAGUUUCAAACUACACACACUGAAGUUUUCCAGAGAGAAACUUGCAGAAAGUAACCGUAAGGCCUUAGGAGUGUGAAGAGGAGAUGAAGACGCCUUCUGCUGCACUCAACAGAGCUGAAGGUAAGUGAGGAGUCCAGACAGACUGCAGCCGUACGGCUGUGAAUGAUGUGAUGUGUCGGUGUAUCGCGUGGUGAAAGCUGUGAUUUACAGUUAGUACCUUGAGAUAAACCUCUGAUUCUUGCUGUUAUCAUGUACAUGUACACAGAGACGCAUAUAAAAGUACUUACACAGAGACACUCUAACAUGUUGGUAUGCACAGAGACUCGCUAAACAUGAAAAGCAUAUACAGAAAUACACUUUAACAACCACAUUAUAUAAUGUAGAUACAAACAUGAAAUAACUAAAUGAAGGUGCAUCAAAUUAAAAUAAUUGGAUCUAUGAAUGUUUUCUCACAUCCCGAUGAUCCUCCUCACGUCUCUUCUCCUUGUCUCUGCAGACCAACAGGACGCAAACAGGACAUCAUCAGGACGUCACGUCACCGGGGCGCGCUGAGAGUCGACCCCUCAGGAGCAGCUCCAGAUCCACACAAAGACUCACUAACGUUUCUAUUUUCCAACAGGCCCUUUUCCCCCUCUAUCACUUUCUGGCCCUCUCCCCACCCUCCACCCUCUCUCUUCUUUUCCCCCUCUAUCUGUUUCUGCCCCCACUCUCCCAUUGUCCCCCCCACUCUCUUCCCCCCGCCCCCAUCACUCUCCCUUCCUCCCCACUUCAUUUUUUUCAUUUUUCAUUUUUUUCAUUUUUCAUUUUUUUCAUUUUUCAUUUUUUUCAUUUUUCAAACGAACAAAACGUUUGACCUGGAUUUGCUCCAUAUAUGUGUGUGUGUGUGUGUGUGUGUGUGUGUGUGUGUGUGUGUGUGUGUGAGAGACUUUCUUCAGGUGUGCUGGGGACGUCCCUCCUGCAGCUGACCAUCAUGGGGGUAAAUGGCUGUGCCAAGCCAGUGUGGGGGGAUCUUCAGUGGAAGCCAGAGCGGAACCAGAGACGCGUGAAAAAGGAAAAGGAAAAAGGAGCCGUACUCGUCUUUUGGCAAUAAAUGUUUCCUGAUUCCUGUUGGAGAUUUUGUUCUCCACACUAACAACAUUAACGUGUUACUAACUUUUCUUUCUUUCUUCUCAGGAACUAAACAUGAAAAGCAUAUACAGAAAUACACUUUAACAACCACAAUGUAUAAUGUAGAUACAAACAUGAAAUAACUAAAUGAAGGUACAUCAAAUUAAAAUAAUUGGAUCUAUGAAUGUUUUCUCACAUCCCGAUGAUCCUCCUCACGUCUCUUCUCCUUGUCUCUGCAGACCAACAGGACGCCAUCAGGACGCCAUCAGGACAUCAUCAGGACGUCACGUCACCGGGGCGCGCUGAGAGUCGACCCCUCAGGAGCAGCUCCAGAUCCACACAAAGACUCACUAACGUUUCUAUUUACCCACAGGCCCUUUUCCCCCUCUAUCACUUUCUGGCCCUCUCCCC